rnacentral:rRNA from 1 species
AAACGGAGCUAAUACCGGAUAAUAUUUUGAACCGCAUGGUUCAAAAGUGAAAGACGGUCUUGCUGUCACUUAUAGAUGGAUCCGCGCUGCAUUAGCUAGUUGGUAAGGUAACGGCUUACCAAGGCAACGAUGCAUAGCCGACCUGAGAGGGUGAUCGGCCACACUGGAACUGAGACACGGUCCAG